AUUUGGUUAAUCUCUUAUUCUUCUUUAAGUUGUUCACCAAACCCCUACUGAUAUAUGAUCAAUACUCAACCACCUUUUGUUUUUGUCCCAAUUAUUUGCAUUAUGGCCUUGAAUGUUUUGUAGAUUUUGUAAGAGUUUUUGGAUUUUGUUUUUCAAAAACUUAUUUUCAUACCAAUCAAAAUUUUAAAAUUUUGGUUUUCCUACAAUUUAGAAAAACUAUUUUUGUUGUAGUUUUCCAUUCAUGAUUUUAGUUUUUUAGUUUUCCUAAAGUUAGAAAUCUAGUUUUUACUCCAUCAACGUUAUUUUUAAAACAAAAAUAUAUUAACAAAAAUCUAAAACUAAAAUCUAAAAUCUAGAAACUAAAAUCUAAAUCCAAAAACUGAAUCGAAAAUCAGCAUCCAUUCAGGGCCUAAGUUACUAACCACGUUAAAAACGAAAUUUAAACCCAUGAAACUUGAAAUAGCGUAUCACCGAAAUUGUUGGUGUUGGGGAUGAAAAU
rnacentral:sRNA from 1 species